rnacentral:lncRNA from 1 species
GGGCCGUGUUUGCUGAGCUGAUGUGCCCGGCUGAUACAGAUAGCGGCGGCGAGCCGCCCGCUUCUGUGGAAAAAGACUAUUUUAAGUGUCAUAAUUAAGUUUAGGAGCCUUGUUUGGGCUCAUUCACUGCUCGAAAUAAAAAGGACUGGCUGCUUCUAGACCCUUUCUGAAAGGGCUGGCUAAGCGCCUCUGCACGUUCGCUCGGAGAAGAAUGUUUUCUUUUCUAGUUUAAUAUUAGAAACUAUAUUUUUACUUGUUUAAACCGGAUUUGAAUUUUUUGGAGAUUUUUUUCCUCUCCCCCCCCCGCCCCCCAUCGCUCAAAUCUUUGUUCAUUGUUCAUUGACUGUGCAAGGCUGCUUAAAUGUACGGAGAGAGGGGGGAGGCCCCCUCGGUGGUUUGAUGUUGAAAUAGUAAACCUGAAUGAGGAGGGUGGCUGGAAAAGUGGACAUUGCAGCUUUAAUUAACUUCAAGAUGCUUCAGCGAGGACCAGAGCGUAGUAGUGACGUUGCCUCAUAAAUCUGUCCAGUACAGUGCGUUGCAUUGAACUAUUACAGUAUCACCAUCAUAUUGAAUAUUCACUACCUAUCCGGGAGCAGAUUUGCAUAAUUGGAUCUUUUUUAAAUGAAACUUGUUUGCAAAAACCCAAACAAAACCAAAAAAACCAAAAGCCCAAGUGAAAACCGCGGCGAUCUGCAUGGUUUUAAAGGGUUCAAACAUAUCCGAAAAAACGUGCACUAGAAGAGAGUCUCGGUACAGUUGCUAAACCCUGCGACUGAGUGCACUUUCUCAUGUCUUCUCUGCCUUCAGAUUUUGCUCCUGACUCUGAAUUUCUAUCCCUGCAGGUAAAUGAGAUUUAAUAUGAUGGGGUUUUUAACGUGCCAGUGACUUAAACUUUGUUUUCAUGUGCUGUUACGAUGAUGACAAUUAACAACUGCAGAUGUAGGAAAGGUCAGCCUCUCUGUUACUUUUGCAGGGAAUGAGCAUGAAGUAUUUGCAGGCUAAAGCUGUGUUUUGCAAAUGAUUUCCUGAAGAUACAAGUUGCUGUGAUGGAAACACUGUAUUAAAACUCUUUUUGAUAAAUUGACUAUGUCUUAAUGGAAAAGAAGGAAAAAGAAUCGUUCCACGGGCUUUUUGACUUUUGAACAUAUUUGAGCUCUGAUACCCAGCAAGUUGUCUGGCACUGUCUUCACUGUAGACUUUUAUAUAAUGAAGAGGCUGUUUGUCAUAUUUUUGUCCAUGCCAGAGGCCAAUAACCCAACCCAUUCAUUAUCAGAAGAGAGUAGCCUCUAAGUUGCAACAUCAGUAACACUGUUUUGCUUGCAGCAAUGAAGACAGUGCUGAUAUCAGAAACUGUGAUCUUCAGUACAGAAAGCUGACACAUUAGGUUGUUUACCCACCAUGGAACCUUAGGUGACCAAAGAGAUUUGCAUUAGAACAGAUGUAGAAAAUCCACUAGUCCAUUAAAAUGGGCUGUGCUUAUUCCCUGGGAAGCACAAGUUUCAUCAAGUGUAGGAAAAUCAGUAAGAAGUAAUUUUUCCAAAUGUUGAUUUUUGCUUAAAGUUGACUUUGAAUUGCACAGGUGUUUUUAGAGUGUGUUGACUAAAAAAAAUUAAAAAAAAAAAAAGACAUGAUUUAUAUGAAUUUUAUGAAAAUGGGAACUAAAGCCAUAUGUAGAUAUAUUUUUAUAGUUUGAGUGUGGACAAAUAAAGAAUUUUAAUCUUCUGAUUUAGUUUACCUU